CAGAAUUUGUCAUUUAAAAAAAAAGGAAAGGGUUCCUGGUUUCCCCUGUGUACCAGGUUAAAUGCCAGACAUGAAAACUGGGGGUGAGGGAGGCAUGGGUGACUGACAGGCAGAGUGAGAGAAAAAUAAGUAUCUGUGUGCAGGCCGAGUAUUGUUGGGCUGAUACGAAUGAGGCUGUGGCCUCCCUCGGGGAGUGUGUUGUAGUACAGCAGUUGUCUGCCUCAGGGCCUGUCAUCAUCUGCUGUGUCCAUUCAGCAAACCACUGACACACUUCCUCUUUUACACACACCCACACACCCACACACACUCACUCACUCACUCACUCACACACGUGUGACAUCUGUCUGGGUGAAAGGGAUGGAAAGGUUUGUGGUGCUGAGUGUGCGAGUUGAAGAAAAAAAGAGAAGUCCUGUCACAUUCUACAACCCUAACUUUAAAUAAGUUAAAAAGGACAGAAAUAGGUUUAGAUGUUCCUGCAGAUGAAUGUGACACAGUGUUCCUCUGUCGCCGACGGAAAAAAAAAGUCUCCUUUAUCUGCUAUUUGGAAACAAUGAUAAAGAGGUCUGAUUAGGAAAAUUCUAAAUAUAAAACUGACGAACGCAACUUCACACAAUGCUGAUAAAGUCUCUCAGCUCCGUGCCACUCUCUCCAUGUUUCUCAGUGUAGUGUAGAGUCAGACACAGGGUAAAAAAAAGCCUCUGAAAUGAGGUAGUUAUGUUUAUAAAACCCUUAAAGUCUAAAGUAUUACCAUGCCAUUUGUGGCGGGGUGUAAGAUUAAGUAAAUAUACCAAAAGGUUAUCAAACAUAUUUCUCAAACUGAACCAAAUAUGGUUCAAACUUUCCGCAAAUCCAAGAAACAUCGAGUUUCUAUUUUUCUCUUUUACAUGUGUUGAAGGACGGGUUCAUCCAACAGAUGCCAAACAUUUUUAAAAAUAAAGACUUCCUGAAAUGUUUUCAUUUGGUUAACAAAGCACCAAAGUGGAUUUUCAAUCAUAAAAAAACAAAUGCUAAGUUAAUACAAAGGCUGUGUUGAAGUGUCAGAUGGAAGUUUCACUCUUAAAUCAACACAAAAUGCUUUUGCGUUUUGGUAAAAAUAUAAAAAUUAUUGUAAGAGUAUAGAGGGACAGGCAAAGAUUUGUCGACGGCUGAUGAAACACAGAUGGCUUCAAAACACAGAUGUUCAGCAUUUUCUUACCUCCAAACUCCCAACACCCUUUUCGUCCCCUCUGAAGGACUCAGUGUUUCCUAACUGUAACCUUUCUUCUCUGUUUGUUUGACAAAUCACAUUUAUAGACUAAGCAAACUGCACACAGUACAAAACCUCGGGCUUGAAUUAAUUUUAUGAAGAUCAAAACUGAGGCUGAACAAAAACAUUAACGACAUGAAUAUAGCCUAAAGUUGUAAAACACUUACUACAGGAAAUAGUAAAUCUGAACGUCUAAAUGUAAACUAUAAAGCAACAUUUGCCUGUUUUCUUCCCCUAACAAGCCGAGAGGAAUUGUGCUUAAAAAUAUUUACAGGUGAAAAACAGGCAUGUUAGGUGGCAGUAAUGCAACACGUAAGAUGCUACAUAAACUAUGCUAUGUGGUACAGCGGAGGGGCCCCCUGCCUGCUAUUAUAAGGUUCAGGGUUCAAUACCACCUAGUCCCACAUUCCAUCCCAGGUCGGGUUGUGUCAGGAGGGGCGUUGCCGGGGUAACCAGUGGUGAAGUGAAAAGCUGAAAGAGACUCUUCUUCUCCUACUUUGCAUGUUUGUCUUUUAAAUAUUGGAAAACAUCAGUAAAUCAUUUUCCUACCAAACUGCUCUCACUGCUGUUUUGUUUACACAGGUCCUGUGGACAUUUCUUCCCUGUCACCAUUUGACAGUGGUCUGUUUAGACCAAUGGGAGCGCCAUGAGUUCACAUGCUUGCUCAGGAUUACAUAUUUACCACCUGGUCCAACUCGCUCCGGUAUGGACUUACUUGACCUCUGCUUCACUGGUCGCUCUCAUCUCCUAGUAUCCACUAUUGAUGGUACAAUGGAAUGUUUAAACUAUUCUCAGUGCUGUUAAGGAUUUUUAAAGGAACUUUAAAUCGUGUUCUUUAGGUUUAAAAAUCCACCUCCGUGAAUGAAGAGAGAACAAGAACACCAUUAUUCACCUUGGAUCCCUCGGAGCUGCGAACGUUAAUAUUAGUGUAGUCAAUAUUUUAACAACGCAGGUGAAAUAUUAACUGCUUCCAAAUGGUUUAUAAGGAGUUUGUGCUUUCUUAAUCACCAGGGACAAAAAAGUGUGUAUUUUCUUGGAGGACCGAAGGAUCAAAACUGCCAUCUGAAGAGAAUUACUCCGAGCUGCGGUGUUGAAACAACUUCCUCCAGAUGCAAGGUCACGUUGGGUAUUUGAUCCGAAAUUUUGUUGGACCUAGUCUUCUGACGCUGAUCAGUGGAUGGCUGCCAAGGCCUCCAGGUUAGAAGGCUAACAAUAAGGUAGAAUGAUAAAUGGUCUGUAUCCACCAAAGCACUUUACAAUCGAGCAGUACAGGGAGUACCUGGAGCAGGGUAAGGAGAAAUACUGCACUCAACACUUACGUCUGAAAGAAAACUGUUCUACCCACUGAUCCACAACUAACUGUUCAGUUGACUCUCCUUGCAGAAAAGAAAAAAAUGCUCCGGUCACGUCUUCGUCACGUCCCCGUGGAAAUCUCCCGACCAACACACCCAUACGUACACACAGAAACACAGAGGCUACUCACGCCCUGGGUCUGGGGAAGCCCAUGGACAACAGCACAUCAAGG